rnacentral:sRNA from 1 species
UUGUUACUUGUUAAUUACGUAAAGUGC